CUCUCUCUUACAUCAUUAGUGGUCAGUGAACGUUUUGUGCUAACUUUGACAGGAUCUCUGCCAGACACCGCAGCUCACCAGUCACCUCCACCACAAGUGUGGACCCCGCUACAGAGACCACCACCACUCAUAAGCUUGAUCUAACAGCAGGUUGGGGGGGGGGGGUGUGAGACAAGAACGAAGCAACGUCAGCAGUAGCUGGAACAGUAUUAAUCCAGACACCACGCUCGCUACAUCUCUCCAGCCACCACGCCACCACCGACCCUCGAGUCUACGCAGCCCAGUGUCCGUCUGUGUCUUGUCGUGGGCGUGACGUUCAGCAGCGGCAGGAACAGCAACGGGAAGCUUGAUCUACGUGGGUUUUCGUGCGGCGGGGUGACGUGCCGCUGCUGUGAGGUUAUCGGACCACAGCACAGCACAGCACAGCACAGAGGAGGAGAGGCGUUGACGAUCCAAAGGCCUGACUCCACAGCGGUAAUGAGCCUCGUCUACCUUGCACUUUGACGGACAACGCUCACUACCAACACCUCUGCCUCCGCCACCGCCGU